UGCAACUCGCCUGCAUGAAGUUGGAAUUGCUAGUAAUCGCGGAUCAGCAUGCCGCGGUGAAUACGUUCCCGGGCCUUGUACACACCGCCCGUCACACCAUGGGAGCCGGUAAUACCCGAAGUCAGUAGCCUAACCGCAAGGGGGGCGCUGCCGAAGGUAGGAUUGGCGACUGGGGUGAAGUCGUAACAAGGUAAC
rnacentral:rRNA from 1 species